rnacentral:rRNA from 1 species
UACCAAGGCGAUGAUGCAUAGCCCCGAGUUGAGAGACUGAUCGGGCCACAUUGGGGACUGAGACACGGGCCCAAAACUCCUACGGGGAGGCAGCAGUAGGGAAUCUUCCACAAUGGACGACAAGUCUGAGUGGAGACAACGCCGCGUGAGUAGAAGGUUAAGGGUUUCGGCUAACGUAAAGCUCUGUUGUUGGUAGAAGAAGACAGGGUAGUAACUGACCUUUGUUUGACGGUAAUCAAUAGAAGUCACGGCUAACUACGUGCCAGCAGCCGCGGUAAU